rnacentral:tRNA from 1 species
CCUCGUAUAGCUUAGUGAUAGAGCAAUGGCGUGUAAAGCCAGAGUCUCGGGUUCGAUUCCUGGCGAGGA